GAUGAACGCUGGCGGCGUGCCUAAUACAUGCAAGUCGAGCGAACGGACGCGAUGCUUGCUUCUCUGAUUUUAGUGGCGGACGGGUGAGUAACACGUGGAUAACCUACCUAUCAGACUGGGAUAACUUCGGGAAACCGGUGCUAAUACCGGAUAAUAUUUUGAACCGCAUGGUUCAAAAGUGAAAGACGGUCUUGCUUUCUCUUAUAGAUUGAUCCGCGCUGCAUUAGCUAGUUUGUUAGGUAACGGCUUACCAAGGCAACGAUGCAUAGCCGACCUGAGAGGGUGAUCGGCCACAUUGGAACUGAGACACGGCCCAGACUCCUACGGGAGGCAGCAGUAGGGAAUCUUCCGCAAUGGGCGAAAGCCUGACGGAGCAACGCCGCGUGAGUGAUGAAGGUCUUCGGAUCGUAAAACUCUGUUAUUAGGGAAGAACAAAUGUGAAAGUAACUGUGAACAUCUUGACGGUACCUAAUCAGAAAGCCACGGCUAACUACGUG
rnacentral:rRNA from 1 species